rnacentral:sRNA from 1 species
GAUCGGAAAGCAAGUCCGCGCACGACCGA